UACGUAGGGGGCGAGCGUUGUCCGGAUUCAUUGGGCGUAAAGAGCUCGUAGGCGGUUCAGUAAGUCAGGUGUGAAAUCUCCGCGCUCAACGCGGAGCGGCCACCUGAUACUGCUGUGACUCGAGUGCGGCAGAGGGGGGUGGAAUUCCACGUGUAGCAGUGAAAUGCGUAGAGAUGUGGAGGAACACCGAUGGCGAAGGCAGCCCCCUGGGUCGACACUGACGCUCAUGCACGAAAGCGUGGGGAGCAAACAGG
rnacentral:rRNA from 1 species